rnacentral:rRNA from 1 species
AAUACGCCAUCGGGCUAACUCUGUUCCCAGCAGGCAGCAGCUAAAUACAGAGUGGUGCGAGCGUUAAUAGGAUUUACUGGGCAGUCACAGCGCGCGUAGGUGACUAAUUAAGUCCAAAUGUGAAAUCCCCGAGCUUACUUGGGAAAUUGCAUUCGAUACUGGUUGGCUAGAGUAUGGGAGAGGAUGGUAGAAUUCCAGGUGUAGCGGUGAAAUGCGUAGAGAUCUGGAGGAAUACCGAUGGAGAAGGCACCCAUCUGGCCUAAUACUGACACUGAGGUGCGAAAGCAUGGGGAGCAAACAGGAUUAGAUACCCUGGUAGUCCAUGCCGUAAAACGAUGUCUACUAGCCGUUGGGGGAUUUGAUCCUUUAGUGGCGCAGCUAACGCGAUAAGUAGACCGCCUGGGGAGUACGGUCGCAAGACUAAAACUCAAAUGAAUUGACGGGGGCCCGCACAAGCGGUGGAGCAUGUGGUUUAAUUCGAUGCAACGCGAAGAACCUUACCUGGCCUUGACAUAGUAGAAACUUUCCAGAGAUGGAUUGGUGCCUUCGGGAAUCUACAUACAGGUGCUGCAUGGCUGUCGUCAGCUCGUGUCGUGAGAUGUUGGGUUAAGUCCCGCAACGAGCGCAACCCUUUUCCUUACUUGCCAGCAUUUCGGAUGGGAACUUUAAGGAUACUGCCAGUGACAAACUGGAGGAAGGCGGGGACGACGUCAAGUCAUCAUGGCCCUUACGGCCAGGGCUACACACGUGCUACAAUGGUCGGUACAAAGGGUUGCUACACAGCGAUGUGAUGCUAAUCUCAAAAAGCCGAUCGUAGUCCGGAUCGCAGUCUGCAACUCGACUGCGUGAAGUCGGAAUCGCUAGUAAUCGCGGAUCAGAAUGCCGCGGUGAAUACGUUCCCGGCCCUUGUACACACCGCCCGUCACACCAUGGGAGUUUGUUGCACCAGAAGUAGGUAGUCUAACCGUAAGGAGGACGCUACCCACGGUGGCCCAAGGGG